rnacentral:rRNA from 1 species
AUUGAACGCUGGCGGCAGGCCUAACACAUGCAAGUCGAGCGGAUGAAGGGAGCUUGCUCCUGGAUUCAGCGGCGGACGGGUGAGUAAUGCCUAGGAAUCUGCCUGGUAGUGGGGGAUAACGUCCGGAAACGGGCGCUAAUACCGCAUACGUCCUGAGGGAGAAAGUGGGGGAUCUUCGGACCUCACGCUAUCAGAUGAGCCUAGGUCGGAUUAGCUAGUUGGUGGGGUAAAGGCCUACCAAGGCGACGAUCCGUAACUGGUCUGAGAGGAUGAUCAGUCACACUGGAACUGAGACACGGUCCAGACUACUACGGGAGGCAGCAGUGGGGAAUAUUGGACAAUGGGCGAAAGCAUGAUCCAGCAAUGCCGCGUGUGUGAAGAAGGUCUUCGGAUUGUAAAGCACUUUAAGUUGGGAGGAAGGGAAGUAAGUUAAUACCUUGCUGUUUUGACGUUACCAACAGAAUAAGCACCGGCUAACUUCGUG